rnacentral:lncRNA from 1 species
UACUAUAAAAAAAUUUAACUUAAUUCCAAAAACCUAAACCCAUUAAUAGGAAAAAGCAUCCAAACCAUAACGGGUUUGGAGCAUCCGCCAAUCAUGCCCACCUCCAACAGGUUGGCCAUACUACGACAACCCCCCCACCCCCCAAAACAAAAGCAAGUACUGAAACCACCAUGAAGUGGAUCAGAUGGAAGAUGACAAAGGUCGGGACCAAAUAAUCCAUCAUGGCUCCAACCAUCAAACCUUGAGAUCUAGUUCAUUGACAUUGAAGCUCUAUCACAUCCCAUCCGGUGGCUCACUAGGUGGAAGAUGAUACUUAGAGAAAACAACACAUCAAAGGCUCGGUUGGAAACUAAAAGAGCGAGCCUCGGUAGGGAGAGGAGAAGAGAAUCUCCAACAAAAGUGUGAGAAAGCUCCCACAAGCAGACGAUCUAACCCCAUUGCAUCUCGACGAUUGGAGGCUGAAGAAAAAGAAAAUGUGGUUAGAUACCAUCUUUAUUUUCAAAAAAGAGAAUAAUGACAAGGCUAAAGGGAAAAAGGAAAAGAAGAGAUGAGGAGGUAACCACAGAAGGAAGCAUUUAGGGAAGGUAGAGCAAACAACAACUAAUAUUUGAGAAACUAGAGAUAGAUGAAGUAAUUCCUAGAGGAAAACUAAUCGUUGUCAUAUCCAGAUUGAACUGGGAAAUGGUGAAAUAUUCAUAAAAUCCACCUAUUCCUGUAAAUUUUCUAAAAAAAACUGGUAAAUUUGAAAAUUUUC